rnacentral:rRNA from 1 species
AUUGAACGCUGGCGGAAUGCUUUACACAUGCAAGUCGAACGGCAGCACGGACUUCGGUCUGGUGGCGAGUGGCGAACGGGUGAGUAAUGUAUCGGAACGUGCCCAGUCGUGGGGGAUAACGUAGUGAAAAUUACGCUAAUACCGCAUACGAUCUAUGGAUGAAAGCGGGGGAUCGCAAGACCUCGCGCGAUUGGAGCGGCCGAUAUCAGAUUAGGUAGUUGGUGGGGUAAAGGCCCACCAAGCUAACGAUCUGUAGCUGGUCUGAGAGGACGACCAGCCACACUGGAACUGAGACACGGUCCAGACUCCUACGGGAGGCAGCAGUGGGGAAUUUUGGACAAUGGGCGAAAGCCUGAUCCAGCCAUUCCGCGUGCAGGAUGAAGGCCCUCGGGUUGUAAACUGCUUUUGUACAGAACGAAAAGGUUUCUACUAAUACUAGGAGCUCAUGACGGUACUGUAAGAAUAAGCACCGGCUAACUACGUGGCAGCAGCCGCGGUAA